AUUGAACGCUGGCGGCAGGCCUAACACAUGCAAGUCGAACGAGUGGCGGACGGGUGAGUAAUGUCUGGGAAACUGCCUGAUGGAGGGGGCUAACUACUGGAAAAGGUAGCUAAUACAGCAUACCAUCGGAUGUGCCCCGAUGGGAUGAGCUAGUAGGUGGGGUAAAGGCUCACCUAGGCUACGAUCCCUAGCUGGUCUGAGAGGAUGACAAGCGACACUGGAACUGAGACACGGUCCAGAGUCCUACGGGGUGCAGCAGGGGUGAAUAUUGCACAAUGGGCGCAAGCGUGAUGCAGCCAUGCCGCGGGUAUGAAGAAGGCCGUCGGGGUGUAAAGUACUUUCAGCGGGGAGGCGUUACCCGCAUAAGAAGCACAUGCUAACUCCGGGCCAGCCGCCGCGGUAAUUC
rnacentral:rRNA from 1 species